rnacentral:rRNA from 1 species
GACGAACGCUGGCGGCGUGCUUAACACAUGCAAGUCGAACGGAAAGGCCCCUUCGGGGGUACUCGAGUGGCGAACAGGUGAGUAACACGUGAGUAACCUGCCCUUGACUUCGGGAUAACUUCAAGAAACUGGGGCUAAUACCGGUUAGGAAUCCUUUCUGCAUGGUGGGGGUUGGAAAGCUUCGGGGGUUUUGGAUGGACUUGCUGCUUAUCAGCUUGUUGGUGGGGUAGUGGGUUACCAAGGCUUUGACGGGUAGCCGGCCUGGGAGGGCGACCGGCCACAUUGGGACUGAGAUACGGCCCAGACUCCUACGGGAGGGAGAAGUGGGGAAUAUUGCACAAUGGGCGGAAGCCUGAUGCAGCAACGCCGCGGGCGGGAUGACGGCCUUCGGGUUGUAAACCGCUUUCAGCAGGGGCGAAGCUUGUGGUGACGGUACCUGCAGAAGAAGCACCGGCUAACUACGUG